rnacentral:rRNA from 1 species
AUUAUACAGCGAAACUGCGAAUGGCUCAUUAAAUCAGUUAUCGUUUAUUUGAUAGUACCUUACUACUUGGAUAACCGUGGUAAUUCUAGAGCUAAUACAUGCUAAAAACCCCGACUCGCGGAGGGGUGUAUUUAUUAGAUUAAAAACCAAUGCCCUUCGGGGCUCCUUGGUGAUUCAUAAUAACUUCUCGAAUCGCAUGGCCUUGCGCCGGCGAUGGUUCAUUCAAAUUUCUGCCCUAUCAACUUUCGAUGGCAGGGUCUUGGCCUGCCAUGGUUACAACGGGUAACGGAGGGUUAGGGCUCGACCCCGGAGAAGGAGCCUGAGAAACGGCUACUACAUCCAAGGAAGGCAGCAGGCGCGCAAAUUACCCAAUCCCGAUUCGGGGAGGUAGUGACAAUAAAUACUGAUACAGGGCUCUUUAGGGUCUUGUAAUUGGAAUGAGUACAAUUUAAAUCCCUUAACGAGGAACAAUUGGAGGGCAAGUCUGGCGGUCCGCCUCACCGCGUGCACUGGUUCGGCCGGGCCUUUCCCUCUGGGGAACCUCAUGCUCUUCACUGAGUGUGCUGGGGAACCAGGACUUUUACUGUGAAAAAAUUAGAGUGUUCAAAGCAGGCCUAUGCUCGAAUACAUUAGCAUGGAAUAAUAGAAUAGGACGUGUGGUUCUAUUUUGUUGGUUUCUAGGACCGCCGUAAUGAUUAAUAGGGACAGUCGGGGGCAUCAGUAUUCAAUUGUCAGAGGUGAAAUUCUUGGAUUUAUUGAAGACUAACUACUGCGAAAGCAUUUGCCAAGGAUGUUUUCAUUAAUCAGGAACGAAAGUUAGGGGAUCGAAGACGAUCAGAUACCGUCGUAGUCUUAACCAUAAACUAUGCCAACUAAGGAUCGGACGAUGUUAUUUUUUGACUCGUUCGGCACUUUACGAGAAAUCAAAGUCUUUGG